CGCCCCUGACAAAAAUAUGUUUCCUGUGAAAGAAAGGGUAAACAUACGAUUUUAGUAAAACCUACUCAAAGAUAUACAGAGUUUAAAGAUCUACUGUACGUUUUUAUUUGCUUCAAGUCCAGUCGCUUUAAUACAUGUUUAGUAAAGAUCCUUGUCCAGUCAAUGUGAUCCUUGUCCAGUCAAUGUGAUCCUUGUCCAGUCAAUGUGAUCCUUGUCCAGUCAAUGUGAUACUUGUCCAGUCAAUGUGAUCCUUGUCCAGUCAAGUUAUUAUAGUUCUGGCUGUCUAGUUUUGGCGAAGAAUCCAUCCUGAUGUUGGAGUAACAGGAAUUUCUGCAGAGUGAUGGUCAAUGACAUUUUGUGAACUUUACAAGUACUUGAGAUGACGACACAACCUUACUUAUAAAAUAGGCUGACCUCAGAGGUACAGUCAUCAGUAUUUAUCUAAUUAAUCUGGGAAAGUGCAAUAGAUGUUCUGGUGUUUGAUGGAAAGAGUCCCACCCUGUUUGUAGAAUACAUUGUACCUCAUUUAGGGAUGUGAUCAGAUCUUCAAGGCUAUAAUGGAGGAUUGGAAUAAGAAACUAACUACAGCUGCUAGCGAUGGAGAUAUAGAAGCCUUAAAAUUAAGCCUACAGAAUGGUGCAGACAUUGAUUAUCGAGAUG